GAUGAACGCUGGCGGCGUGCCUAAUACAUGCAAGUCGAGCGAAGCGGGGACGGGUGAGUAACACGUGGAUAACCUCCUAUAAGACUGGGAUAACUUCGGGAAACCGGAGUUCAAUCCGAUACUUAUACAUGGAUCCUCGCUGCAUUAGCUAGUUGGUAAGGUAACGGCUUACAAAGGCAACGAUGCAUAGCGGACCUAGGAGGGUGAUGGCCCAAAUGGGAAUGGAGACCCGGUCCAGACUCCUACGGGAGGCAGCAGUAGGGAAUCUUCCGCAAUGGGGGAAAGCCUGACGGGGCAACGCCGCGGGAGUGAGGAAGGUCUUCGGAUCGUAAAACUCUGUUAUUAGGGAAGCGGUACCUAAUCAGAAAGCCACGGCUAACUACGUGCCAGCAGCCGCGGUAAUUC
rnacentral:rRNA from 1 species